CCUCAGGGCCCGGCUCUCCCGGGCCCGGGGCCGUGCGGCGCAGGCAGGGCUGCGGCUCGGGCUGUUUGUGGCGGGGGUCUCACAGAGAACAGCUGCAGAGCAUGAUAGCAACAGAAGCACGGAAAUGGAAGGCUGAGAUAGCAAAAAGGAAUCUGAACCCCGGAACUGGGACCCCAAUUGCAAACCCACACAAGCCCAGGACAAGAAGAGCCAAUGGUUUCACAGAAUAAAGGAGUAAGCAAACCAAGGGACUGGUACCAAGUGCUGGAGGAGUACAAGGAAGAAGCUGGAAAAGCAGCGCUCACUUGCUGGAUUCUUGUGGUUUAUGAUGGACACCAUUAAUGCCAGGCUGUACAUGUGCCAGGGAAUGUGCAGAAAUCUCAUCCUGAGCAUGUCCACAGAACCCAACGUGCUGCAGUGCAGGAGGCUGUUUCCAUCUUUCACAUCUUUGACAUUGUUAGAAAUCUUCAUACGGCCUCAUUUUACAAACUUAGGUUCAAAUUUCUCCCUUCUUCUCAACCUCCCUGUUGCUUUGGGGACCUGCAAUUCUUUCACCAUACCAAGAUCUCACUCUCAGGUAUGAUCUCCUUUUCCAUGAUGGGAUACAACCUUUACCUGAGGCUUUCUACAUUUUCCAUUUGUCAGGUGUAGAUUUGUUAUCCAGGGAAAGCAGCAAGCCAAGAGAGGCAGUGCUGUGUGCUGGCUGAGCCCUGCUCUGCCAGGGAGAGCCCAGGGCAGGGUGGGCUGGGACUGGCAGCUCCUGUGGGAUGCUGAGCUGAGACAAGGGCAGAUUCAUCACUACAGCCAAAUCACAGCACCCAGGCUGAAUCAAAAUCAUCUAGACAGAGCCUUUCUGCUUUCACCAAACUGAAUUUUCUUUACAAGAAUUCUGUAUUGCAUGACAAGUUUUAAAACUGAGAUUUUUUUUAAUCUUAAAAAAACCCCAAACUUAAAACUUUGCAUAGGACAGAAAUUCAUAUUUUGGUGAUAAAUCAGAGGAAACUGUGUUACUGGAGAAACUGAAUGUCUGGGGACAGGUAGCUGACAGUACAUUCCAAAAUAGCAGAGAUCCUUCCACAUAGGGCAGGAAUAAUCCUGAGGACAGUCCUGCCUCCCUGUUACCUGUGCACAAGCUGCACCAAACUCAUACAAAGCUUUUGCAGCAAACAAAAUUUGAACUUAGGAGCCUUUAUAAGCAGUUGCUUUCUUCAGUCUUACUGCUUUCUGUUGAUACCUUGGCAGCAAAAUGGAGAGUUAUUUCAUAUAUUUUGAUUUGCAAAAUUAAAUUUGGAGGGGAGAGAGAUAAUUUCAUUAAGUAAACCAAUAUAAACAAAAAUAGCCCUUCUGGGUAAGAAAAUACAGCUGUCUGUGGGAAGUGCAUGUAAGUCAAUGCAAACAACAGCCAUCUAAAAACAUGAUGCUCUGUAUUUCUUGCAACCAAACUUCAAAAGGAGAUGAAAACAAAGGAGGACAAUGAUAUAUAGAUUAGAGAACAUAACAUGUGGAGAAGCUGAAAAGCCAAAUUCAUAGAGCCCAUGAAAGAGAUGGCUCAGGGUGAACAUGAGCACAGUCUAAUAUCAAAGGAACAACAGAAAUGAAGGAAGUUAUUCGCAGUCUCAGAAAAUUGUAGGCCAGGGAGCAAUGGCCUGAAGCUAAGAAAGAAAAAGUUUAGGUGAGAUAUUAGAGGGGAAGAGAAGCCCUGAGAAAAGAAAAUAACAGGGUAGUUGAAUACCCAAAGAGGGAAAGUUCCCAGUGUGGCAUAACUGCCAGGCUUGUGCAGCAGUGAGAUGGUGUAUGGCUGCAGAAAGCAGAGGCUUGGUACAGACACACAGGAGCCAGCUCGGAUGGAUCGAGUAUUCCUUGGUCCCACAGGCUCUGCUCCAGGUAAUGGCACACAGUGAUACAUGGAAUUACAAGGCAGAGCUGCUUCUUUGAAUUAGCUCAGCUGCUUCCUCUGAUUCUCUCUUAUAUAUCUCCUUUAUCCAUCAUGCACCCUCCCUUCCCAUCCAAAUGUGGAUGAAUUCCAUGUAGUCUCCUCUCACUGAGCUCAGCUUUCUGUCCCGCUGACAAGAGGUGUCAGGAGAACUGCUGGAAGAAGAAGCAGUUGUUACUAAGGCAAGGCCAGCCAAGAGGGCUGCUGAUAUGAUGGAUUAUGGAAGGAAGUCUCAAAGUCACUUAAGGAUGAGGAGCUGGAGGUGUGCAUGAGUAAUGCCAAUGAUCAUACAAAAAACUCUGCAGCACUGAAAAGCUGGAAGAAAGCACUGCCUCUGCUCAGAGCACUGCAAAAGCCAACAGGGACUGGUCUCCACUGAAAGAAUAAGGAGAUUCCCAGGGUUGAGCAGGACUUUGUGAAGGGAAGACUCCUCCUGAAGGAAAUGAUGAGCUCUAGUGGUGGGUCCUCUGCACAAGUUCUCCCUGCUACUUCUUCGCCCUAGAAAUGCACAGGAAUGGGAUCAGCUGGGCUGGAGACAGGCUGAUACUAAUUCUCUAACAUGUGAGAGAAAGGUAUCUCUAAUACACACACUUCAUAAGGUGUGCUAAUAACAAACAACAGCAAGUUUAUAGCCCAGAAGACACCCUGGAGAUGGGAUUUGGUUGCUCAGAGGAGCGUGGGAGGAAGCAGGAAGGCUGUUGCUACCCACGGGCGUGAGGCUCCUGAAGCGAAAUGAUGCACCAUUAUCACAGAGCUCACUGUUGGCUGGCUUCUACUCAAACUCCUGGGCACACAGCUACCAGCACCCAGGGUGCUUUACAGCACAAUUAGAGCUACUGCCAGAAUAAAUACUCAGUGUAGAGCACAGAAACCUGCCAUAAAUACUGCCAGUUGUCCUUUCCCAUCGGGGCACUGCCACAAAGGUCUCUGCACACCCAGCACCGCUGCCCUGGGGCCUUUCCACACCCCGGGCACUGCCCAUGGCAGUAAUCAUCUCACUACUUGUGCCACAAGUGAAGCAAAAAAGCCAAACAUACUUCUCACACAUUUCUCCAGUGGAUGGCCACCGUUUUUAGAGUGGUCCAGGGAGCCAAAGAACAAUUUGCCAGUGGUAUCUUGGUGAUGAGCACCCAGUAAAGGGAAUUUCUUGGGUUUGCUGGUUUAUUGUUUACAAAGAACUACUCAACAUAAUGAUUCUCUGAUGUCUUCACAACAGGGAGCUGCUGUGGCCUGAGCCUGGAGAAGAGAAAAUCCCAGGGACAUGAAAGGAAUUGAUGAGACACCAGGCAUCUGACAAAAUAAAAUCUUCUUGGGAUAAACUGA